UACGGAGGGUGCGAGCGUUGUCCGGAAUCACUGGGCGUAAAGGGCGCGUAGGCGGCCAUAUAAGUCGGGGGUGAAAGCCUGUGGCUCAACCACAGAAUUGCCUUCGAUACUGUAUGGCUCGAGACCGGAAGAGGUAAGUGGAACUGCGAGUGUAGAGGUGAAAUUCGUAGAUAUUCGCAAGAACACCAGUGGCGAAGGCGGCUUACUGGUCCGGUUCUGACGCUGAGGCGCGAAAGCGUGGGGAGCAAACAGG
rnacentral:rRNA from 1 species